rnacentral:lncRNA from 1 species
GGAGAGCAUGAGAUAAAAAGUAACAAUUUCGUCAGCAAAUGAGUGCUAUUUUUUCUUUUAAUAAAUGAGUUUGGAUUUUUUUUUAUCAUCAUUAGGUACUAUAUUUAAAUAUUUUUUUUUAAAAAAAUUGCUAUUUUAGAUAUUUUGCUUAUUUAUAGAGAAAUAUUAGCGGUGAGAUCAGAAUUUAAAAUUUAUAAUAAUUAGAAUUUUUGUUGAUAAAUGAGUGAUAUUUCAAAAAAUUUAUCAUUCAAUGCUAUUUUAAGAUAAGUUUUUUUUUAUAUAUAUUUUUUUAAGAAAACAUGGCGCCUUUAUACUGUUGUUGUUUUGUUUUAUUUUGUAGCAAGCUGCUAUACUCCAAUUCGACGAGGUGGCUUCACCGUUGUUACUGGAGGAUCUACAUACAGAGGAGAGAGAAGCAGUUGUGGAAGUUGUGAUGUGUAUGUCAAAUGCAUUGAGAGUAAGAGAUUGGUAUGAGGCUCCAACAACGAAUAAAACGCAGACGGAGAGAGGAACAACCGGAGUGGAGGGAAUGAAAACAGAUAGGUUCAGUGUAACGGCCCGGUUCCUGGCCCAUAAAAAUUUCCCAAAGAAUAUGGGCUUCUCUACGGCCCAUUUAGCAAAACCCUAGGGCUUCCCCUUCCCUUUACUAUAAAAAGAGAUGCAGUCUCCCUUUUUGCCUCAUCACAAAUCUGAAGCGAAGCUCUGCAGAGAAUUCCCGGAGGUCGAAAACCCUAGCCGUCGAGCUCUCUCUCCUUCUCUCCUGCGCCGUCUCUCUCUCCUCUCUCUCUCCCGCGCGUCGCUCUCUCUCUCUCCCGCGCGUCGCUCUCUCUCUCUCCUCGCCGUCGCACGCUCUCUCUCUCUCCCUCUCGCCGGCGCCGUGAAGUGGUGGUGCUGACCAGAUCUCAACCUUCUCAAAUCCUCGUUUCCAGAUCCAGAUCCAGAUCUAAGACUAAGGUGGAGUGUUUCGAACCCAACCUUCUUUCAUGGUUCUGUAUACUCCUUUAUGUUGGAGUUAGGCUUGAUUAGACCCUGAUUGGGAGUUAGGUUGAUAGGACAUGGUAUUGCUAGGAUGAUAGAUGAAUGAAUCAUGAUGCAUAAGAACCCUCAUACUGAUAAAUGGGACUUGAUGAACUGAAUUGAAUUGUCGUGGUAAUGAUUGAUUGGUAGUUGAUACUUGUAUGUUUGGUUGUGUUGUCCCAUGUGUUGUUGUGAUUGAAGUUAGGAUGCUAGAGAGGAACAAAUGCUAGGAUGAUAGAUGAGCAAUGAUUAUAAACGUUAUUGAAGUAGAACUUGAAUGCGAUGUGUAUUGUGUGUGACACCGAUAACGGGUGGCGUCUAGUGAUUUAGUCCAAGUUCAAGUAUGAAUGAAAAGGGAAAGUAAUUGGGAAUGGGGAGGAUUAAGUGAAAACGAUAAGGAAGUGAAAUGAUAAGUAAAAGUAUGAAAGAAGGAUGUUAAGGUUAAGCAUGGGUGGGAAAGCAUAUAGAGAGUCUAAGGUUUGUAGGUGGGGUAAGUAGUCCACGCUAGGUAUCCAUAGGAGAUGUGGCGAAUCCACAUGAAUAUGGAAGCACCCAUAGGAGAUGUGGCGAAUCCACAUGAAUAUGGGGUAGAAGCCUAGUGGGGGGCUACCCACUGAGGAAAAGAGGAAAAGAGGAAAAGAGGAAAAGAUGAAAAGUUGAAAAGGAUGUGCAUUGUAGGGUUUUAGCUCAUGGUCGGGUAACGGGGAGUUAAAGGUGUCAUAGGGUCGGGUCGGACGGACAAGAGGAGUCGGUUAAGUCUAGGGUUUGACGUGUGUGGCAAUGAGUGAGAUCAUUGUAUUGAUUGAUCGCUAGGUUGUUAGAAAUGAAUGGAAGUGAUUGUGGAAACUGCAGAUAACAUUAGGAAAUGAUGAAAAUGCAUUAACUGAUUGUAGUGGCUAGUCAGUCCUAGUUCCCGCAUGGAGUAGUAUAGAGUGUCAUGCGGGCAGGCUGGUCUAGAACCACUUCACUGAGUAACUUGUUGCUCACCCCUCCAUUUCCAUUUUUCCUGUGCGCAGGACUGUAAGUAGAAGUAUAUGGAUGUGGGUAUGACGGUAUUUCAAAGAAGGUUAUGCGCUCGUCUCUCGGGACCAGUAACGGGACACGUAGGGUUGUCUAGAUGAGUAGACACGUGUCCAUAACGCCCCUUCGAUAACCCCGGUCGGACUCCGGGGGAUCGGGCUGUUACAAUUGGUAUCAGAGCGGGUUAAGAUCCCUUAGUUCCGUCCUAAGGGAUCGGCAUUUCCGACGUUUUAAAAAAAAAAAAAAAAAAAAAAAAAAAAAAAUUAAUAUAUAUAUAUUUCAAUAUAUUUCGUCUUCAAAAAAAAAAAAAAAAAAAAAUUGCAAUAUUACUAAGUAUUUUCGGAUUGUGAAAGAUUAAUUGAAAAUCCCACUAUAUCCAUACUUCUAUUAUGGUUCUGAUUGAAAUUUUAUUGCAGGAUGUUUUCGCUUGACCAUUACGAGUGGAGGAUGCCGCGUAUGCACUACGGACGGAGGAACACCAGGGAGUAUGCCCAAAGGCGUCACUAUGACAGGGAGGGUAACUUGGUGCUACCCAUGUUUCCGGAUCCUGAAGAACAGUACAGGGAGUUCCCAUUCAGGUACCCGCACGAGCAGACUGUGAGGCAUAAGGUGUUGAUGCCUCAUUUCCAGAGGAUGGCUAUGGAGACACGCCUACUGCAGGGCAAUGCGAGGUUCCAGCUUGCAACCGAAGAGGGACCCCCGAGGAAGCGUGGCCGUCCCUGCAAGACGCCAAGUGCAGCAGGGGGAACCCCAAGGGCGUUCACCGGGAAGUGCCAGUGUGGAGUGCUGAGCAAGAAUGCUCAGGAGGACCGAUCAGUCGCUGGAUACACGGAGGACUUCAUCAACCAAGCCAAGCUGUGCAAACCGAAGAAUGCAGAGACGUGGUGCAUAUGGUAUAAGAACGGGCUACGCCAGGAGCUCCAGGCGCAGCUGAGGGGUGUUUUGGAGCCCUUGGAGUUCGCGUUAGUGAGGCGGAUGGCAGGUUUCGCCAUGGAGGCAGAAGAGAAGAUUGCAGCCGAUGAGGCCGCUCUCUCGAGCAUGGAAGGAGGAAACCCGGGUGGGGACGUCGAUGGCCAUGAGGUGCCGGUAGGGACACCCGCUAAGGGAAAGCGGGGGCGUCCGCGAAAACCACCUGCAGUAACAUGUGAUUGUGACGUACUGGUCCAGAUGGUUCAGAAGCCACGCAAGGUGAGAGAUUACCUGGAGGAGUUCUUGGAUACGGCCAAGAUGUGUCAACCGAAGCCAGCUGAGGAGUGGUGUCAUCUGUUUAGGGCCGGGCUACGUGGGGAUAUUCGUGAAGAACUCGUGGGAGUCCUGGAGCCUCUGGAAUUUGCACUGGUGAGAAGGAUGGCUAACCAAGCACUGCAUGCGGAGGAGUGGUUGGCGGGAAAGGAGGCGGAGGCCGAGGAGGACCGCGUCGCAGAGGGCGAUGAAGACCUGGGAUCCGAGUCCCGCUGCCCCUCGCCAUGUCAAUGUGGCUAGACGAGAUCCUAGAGACGAUUCGUAGGAGUAGGACACGUGUUUCGCUAUUGGUUUUAUUUCAUUUAUUGGUUAUUGGAGUUGGUGUUCCUUCCCUUAUUUACGACAUUCUGUAUUGUGCAGAUGUGCUGGGUUUUCUUUUACAAACUAUUGUAGUCCUACUCCUUUUAUUAUUUAUGACAUUCCUUCGUUGGUUUUAAAGAUCCCAGUAGAGUUAUCGUGUCAUGUAUGCCUCCCUUGAUUGUUGUGUGAAUGUGUGAAUCCAUUUUGGUAACGAACGAGUGGUCUGAAAGAUGUGGGCUUUGGAAUUCGGGGACGAAUUCCGAUUAACGGGGGAGGAUUGUAACGGCCCGGUUCCUGGCCCAUAAAAAUUUCCCAAAGAAUAUGGGCUUCUCUACGGCCCAUUUAGCAAAACCCUAGGGCUUCCCCUUCCCUUUACUAUAAAAAGAGAUGCAGUCUCCCUUUUUGCCUCAUCACAAAUCUGAAGCGAAGCUCUGCAGAGAAUUCCCGGAGGUCGAAAACCCUAGCCGUCGAGCUCUCUCUCCUUCUCUCCUGCGCCGUCUCUCUCUCCUCUCUCUCUCCCGCGCGUCGCUCUCUCUCUCUCCCGCGCGUCGCUCUCUCUCUCUCCUCGCCGUCGCACGCUCUCUCUCUCUCCCUCUCGCCGGCGCCGUGAAGUGGUGGUGCUGACCAGAUCUCAACCUUCUCAAAUCCUCGUUUCCAGAUCCAGAUCCAGAUCUAAGACUAAGGUGGAGUGUUUCGAACCCAACCUUCUUUCAUGGUUCUGUAUACUCCUUUAUGUUGGAGUUAGGCUUGAUUAGACCCUGAUUGGGAGUUAGGUUGAUAGGACAUGGUAUUGCUAGGAUGAUAGAUGAAUGAAUCAUGAUGCAUAAGAACCCUCAUACUGAUAAAUGGGACUUGAUGAACUGAAUUGAAUUGUCGUGGUAAUGAUUGAUUGGUAGUUGAUACUUGUAUGUUUGGUUGUGUUGUCCCAUGUGUUGUUGUGAUUGAAGUUAGGAUGCUAGAGAGGAACAAAUGCUAGGAUGAUAGAUGAGCAAUGAUUAUAAACGUUAUUGAAGUAGAACUUGAAUGCGAU